rnacentral:rRNA from 1 species
GACGAACGCUGGCGGCGUGCUUAACACAUGCGAGUCGAACGGAAAGGCCCUGCUUUUGUGGGGUGCUCGAGUGGCGAACGGGUGAGUAACACGUGAGUAACCUGCCCUUGACUUUGGGAUAACUUCAGGAAACUGGGGCUAAUACCGGAUAGGAGCUCCUGCUGCAUGGUGGGGGUUGGAAAGUUUCGGCGGUUGGGGAUGGACUCGCGGCUUAUCAGCUUGUUGGUGGGGUAGUGGCUUACCAAGGCUUUGACGGGUAGCCGGCCUGAGAGGGUGACCGGCCACAUUGGGACUGGGAUACGGCCCAGACUCCUACGGUAGGCAGCAGUGGGGAAUAUUGCACAAUGGGCGGAAGCCUGAUGCAGCAACGCCGCGUGCGGGAUGAGGGCCUUCGGGUUGUAAACCGCUGUCGCCUGUGACGAAGCGUGAGUGACGGUAAUGGGUAAAGAAGCACCGGCUAACUACGUG